UCUGUGACUUUGACAUAAAAUUGUUUAUUUUGGUUUCAAUAAUCUUUUUCAAUGUUUUUUUAGUGUUUAUUCCUUAUACAUUUACAUUGUUAACGAAUAAAGAAAAACAAGCAUGUAUAUAUCCCUUGGUUAGCUCAAGUGUGUGGCUGAACACAUUAACAUCAAUGGGUAACUUAGUAGAGACUUUUCGGAUAUAGCAAGGAGUGGGGUCUUCGCCUAUGAGAACGGGUUUUCCUAUCCGCUUCGAUCUCUUUAUUCCAUUUUGUCGUGUUGUUGAAUUCGGGCUUUCUUCAAAGUGAAGUAAGUUGGAAGAAGAGUACUUCUUUGCAUAUAAGGUAUGGCACAUUAAUUGUGGAAGUUCGUGGUUGGACUAAGUUCUUGAACGACUUGAGUCCCAGAUUAUUUUGCAGGUAAAAGUAUUUUACUAGGAUGGUUGGCUAUCAGCUGGGAUUGGCAAACUCCAUUUUCUUCCUGGAGCAGUGCCGAGUCAUUAUGGUUAUCAUAUGUGUGUAUGGGCAUGUCGGGGCCCUGUCCCGACUCAUAUGAUUCAGGUGUUUACUCUAAGAGACUUUGCAGAUAGUGUCCUAUGGUUAGUAUGUUGAGAUGUCAUGCGUUGAGUAAAACGACCAUGUAG